AUUGAACGCUGGCGGUAUGCUUAACACAUGCAAGUCGAACGAUGAGAAAGAGCUUGCUCUUUCGAUUAGUGGCGGACGGGUGCGUAACGCGUAGGAAUCUACCUAUUAGUGGGGGACAACUUAGGGAAACUUAAGCUAAUACCGCAUACGCCCUACGGGGGAAAGAAGGGGAUCGCAAGACCUUUUGCUAAUAGAUGAGCCUGCGUAGGAUUAGCUAGUUGGUGGGGUAAAAGCUCACCAAGGCGACGAUCCUUAACUGGUUUGAGAGAAUGAUCAGUCACACUGGAACUGAGACACGGUCCAGACUCCUACGGGAGGCAGCAGUGGGGAAUAUUGGACAAUGGGCGAAAGCCUGAUCCAGCAAUACCGCGUGUGUGAAGACGGCCUUAGGGUUGUAAAGCACUUUCAAUUGGAAGGAAAACCUCGAAGCUAAUACCUUCGAGUUUGACAUUACCUUUAGAAGAAGCACCGGCUAACUCCGUGCCAGCAGCCGCAGUAACAC
rnacentral:rRNA from 1 species